AUGCUGAUGGCAGCAGCCCAUCCCAACCAUCUGUUGCUUCCAAGGACAUCAGGAAUGACUUUGGAUUUUACCAUGUGCACCUGGCCCAGAUGUGAGAAGAAAAGGCCUGAGUUAAGCAGACAGAACCACCCCUCGACUGCAGCAUCUUUGGCAGCACUGCAGCAAUGUGAUGGGCAGCAGCUCCCACUGUGGCAUCAGGAAGAACUGAGCAUCACAGGAACGAUUAGCAUCUGAUUUAGCAGCCAGAGCAGGAUCUAGGGAAGCUCGAGUGUUUCAUGCACAGGCCAGUCCCACGAACUCUGAGGAUGGAGGCACUGAUGGGAAUGUGUCACUGCAUUCCCCCCAGGAGCGCUCCCCAUGCACCGCAGAGGGUACGUUGUCCCUUUCUACCCUGUAACAGACACCAUAACUGAGAACUCUGCUGUACAGAUGUGGUAACUCCAUAUGACUCCUGUAUAUAAAACAGCACAAAAUCCCCUUGUGCAGCUCCGGUCCCAUGGUGAGUCCCAGCCGUGCAGAUUGCCUCACUCAGCACUCACUGCUGUCAGGCCAUUGCCCUUCCUUUAAGCAAGUACAGGUGUGACCUUG
rnacentral:lncRNA from 1 species